rnacentral:rRNA from 1 species
GACGAACGCUGUCGGCGUGCUUAACACAUGCAAGUCGAACGGAAAGGCCCUGCUUUUGUGGGGUGCUCGAGUGGCGAACGGGUGAGUAACACGUGAGUAACCUGCCCUUGACUUUUGGAUAACUUCAGGAAACUGGGGCUAAUACCGGAUAGGAGCUCCUGCUGCAUGGUGGGGGUUGGAAAGUUUCGGCGGUUGGGGAUGGACUCGCGGCUUAUCAGCUUGUUGGUGGGGUAGUGGCUUACCAAGGCUUUGACGGGUAGCCGGCCUGAGAGGGUGACCGGCCACAUUGGGACUGAGAUACGGCCCAGACUCCUACGGGAGGCAGCAGUGGGGAAUAUUGCACAAUGGGCGGAAGCCUGAUGCAGCAACGCCGCGUGCGGGAUGACGGCCUUCGGGUUGUAAACCGCUUUCGCCUGUGACGAAGCGUGAGUGACGGUAAUGGGUAAAGAAGCACCGGCUAACUACGUGCCAGCAGCCGCGGUGAUACGUAGGGUGCGAGCGUUGUCCGGAUUUAUUGGGCGUAAAGGGCUCGUAGGUGGUUGAUCGCGUCGGAAGUGUAAUCUUGGGGCUUAACCCUGAGCGUGCUUUCGAUACGGGUUGACUUGAGGAAGGUAGGGGAGAAUGGAAUUCCUGGUGGAGCGGUGGAAUGCGCAGAUAUCAGGAGGAACACCAGUGGCGAAGGCGGUUCUCUGGGCCUUUCCUGACGCUGAGGAGCGAAAGCGUGGGGAGCGAACAGGCUUAGAUACCCUGGUAGUCCACGCUGUAAACGGUGGGUACUAGGUGUGGGGUCCAUUCCACGGGUUCCGUGCCGUAGCUAACGCUUUAAGUACCCCGCCUGGGGAGUACGGCCGCAAGGCUAAAACUCAAAGGAAUUGACGGGGCCCCGCACAAGCGGCGGAGCAUGCGGAUUAAUUCGAUGCAACGCGUAGAACCUUACCUGGGUUUGACAUGGAUCGGGAGUGCUCAGAGAUGGGUGUGCCUCUUUUGGGGUCGGUUCACAGGUGGUGCAUGGCUGUCGUCAGCUCGUGUCGUGAGAUGUUGGGUUAAGUCCCGCAACGAGCGCAACCCUUGUUCACUGUUGCCAGCACGUUAUGGUGGGGACUCAGUGGAGACCGCCGGGGUCAACUCGGAGGAAGGUGGGGAUGACGUCAAGUCAUCAUGCCCCUUAUGUCCAGGGCUUCACGCAUGCUACAAUGGCUGGUACAGAGAGUGGCGAGCCUGUGAGGGUGAGCGAAUCUCGGAAAGCCGGUCUCAGUUCGGAUUGGGGUCUGCAACUCGACCUCAUGAAGUCGGAGUCGCUAGUAAUCGCAGAUCAGCAACGCUGCGGUGAAUACGUUCCCGGGGCUUGUACACACCGCCCGUCAAGUCAUGAAAGUUGGUAACACCCGAAGCCGGUGGCCUAACCGUUGUGGGGGAGCCGUCGAAGGUGGGACUGGUGAUUAGGACUAAGUCAUAACAA